AGUGAACGCUGGCGGUAGGCCUAACACAUGCAAGUCGAGCGGCAGCACAGUAAGAGCUUGCUCUUACGGGUGGCGAGUGGCGGACGGGUGAGGAAUACAUCGGAAUCUACUUUUUCGUGGGGGAUAACGUAGGGAAACUUACGCUAAUACCGCAUACGACCUACGGGUGAAAGCAGGGGAUCUUCGGACCUUGCGCGAUUGAAUGAGCCGAUGUCGGAUUAGCUAGUUGGCGGGGUAAAGGCCCACCAAGGCGACGAUCCGUAGCUGGUCUGAGAGGAUGAUAAGCCACACUGGAACUGAGACACGGUCCAGACUCCUACAGGAGGCAGCAGUGGGGAAUAUUGGACAAUGGGCGCAAGCCUGAUCCAGCCAUACCGCGUGGGUGAAGAAGGCCUUCGGGUUGUAAAGCCCUUUUGUUGGGAAAGAAAAGCAGCAGGUUAAUACCCCGCUGUUCUGACGGUACCCAAAGAAUAAGCACCGGCUAACUUCGUG
rnacentral:rRNA from 1 species